rnacentral:tRNA from 1 species
GCGCUCGUUGUCUAGGGGCUAUGAUUGAUCCCUGCCACGGAUCGGGCCCGGGUUCGAAUCCCGGCGAGCGCACCA